rnacentral:misc_RNA from 1 species
GUUUGUCUAGGGUUUUUGACAAUAGUAUAUAAACACUGUUGCAUAGAGAUUCACCAAACUCUCUCGUAUUCAUUACAAUGGCUUUUUCUUCUCUUCUCAAACCUGCCGCCUCCUUUGUUCGACCUUCACAUCGAUCUCAGGUAUCAUGUGCAGGACUUCAUCAUAGUAGUAAUUCUGUUAAAUUACAAUCGUCUAUCUUCGGAGAUGCUGUGACAAUUUUGCAAUCUUCGUCUUUACAAAAAUCUGGUGCCUGCAGUAUUCAACCUAUCAGAGCAACUGCUACUGAGCUGCCUCCAACAGUUCCAAGGUCACAAACUGGUGGGAAGACAAGGGUUGGCAUCAAUGGUUUUGGACGUAUUGGGAGAUUGGUAUUACGAAUUGCAACAUUCAGGGAUGAUAUUGAAGUGGUCGCAGUUAAUGACCCAUUUAUCGAUGCAAAGUAUAUGGCUUACAUGCUCAAGUAUGAUUCCACUCAUGGAGUCUACAGUGGAUCCAUCAGUGUCCUGGAUGACUCUACUUUGGAAAUCAAUGGGAAGCAGAUUAAAGUCAGUAGCAAAAGGGAUCCCGCAGAUAUUCCAUGGGGUGAUUUAGGUGCAGAUUAUGUUGUUGAAUCUUCUGGUGUCUUCACAACUAUUGAUAAGGCAUCAGCACAUAAGAAGGGUGGUGCAAAAAAGGUCGUAAUCUCAGCACCAUCAGCUGAUGCACCUAUGUUUGUGGUAGGAGUGAAUGAGAAAACUUACAAAGCCAACAUGGAUGUUGUUUCUAACGCUAGCUGUACUACCAAUUGCCUUGCUCCCCUUGCCAAGGUGGUUCAUGAAGAGUUUGGCAUUGUUGAGGGAUUAAUGACUACUGUGCAUGCAACAACAGCUACCCAAAAGACUGUUGAUGGGCCA